rfam:Schistosoma haematobium scaffold104_13, whole genome shotgun sequence.
AUUUAACUGACGAGUCCCAAAUAGGACGAGGCACGCAUUCUAGAU